GGCAGUCUUCCAAACAGAAGAAGGCCAUUCAAACUGCUAUCCGCAAAAAUAAAGAGGCAAAUGCAGUGCUGGCCCGGCUGAACAGUGAACUCCAACAGCAGCUCAAGGAGGUUCAUCAAGAACGGAUUGCAUUGGAAAACCAAUUGGAACAACUUCGUCCAGUCACUGUAUUGUGACCCUCAAGGUCAAGUGACAGUGGGUGACCUUGUCUGCCAAGAUCUUUCUUUAGAAUGUUUGAGCCCAACUGCUUAUUGUAGAUGUCCGACUGUGUCAAAAUCUGUGAGCAGCAGAGUAUAAUCCAUAUGACCUUUUCUCUUACCCUUCACUUGUACAUUUUACUCUGGUGGAAAAAAUACUUCAGUUGAUUAUCACACUUGAAAGCGUAACUAUCAGUGGAAUUUAUCUCCCAUUCUUAAGUACUUCCUCAAGGUGUUAGAUGCUGUUCUGUACCAAAAAUCAAUCUUCUAGCAAAUAAAAAUAAUUUAGAGCAUUAUUUAUUUGAAGAAUUUAUGAUUUGUAUAAAACCUUAUAACCAAGUA